UAAAUUACCUCGAAAAUAAUAUUUCGUAAAACAUUCAUUUAAUACACAAUGCACGCAUGUUUGAAUAUUAUUUAUUUAUAUUUUCGCAGUUUCAUUAAAUUUCAAUAUCAGGAUUAACAAAAUCAGUUCAAAUAGUUUUCCUUAGUUAUGUAUUAUGUACGAAUGAGACGUGCGACGAGAUGAAUGAUGAUCUCUUGGCGAACCCUUCGUUGUGCCGUCCCUGGUCGUUGUCCCUCGAUCACGAUCUCGAUCCAUGCCGGUCAGUCUUGCCGCGCCAGCGCGAUCGAAAGGAUCGAUGCUGUACGGUUCGCGCGCGUCGAUGCUCCGAUUCGAAAAGUCAAACAUUGUGUGUGCAUGGUGAUUUUCAAUCGUGUUAACCAGGACCGAUGGUGAAACAGACUCGCUAGUGACGCGUAUCUCCAUUUGUGCAAUUACUUGUCGGAUGUGUCGCAUGGAUCCGUUGUGAUCUCUGUCGUAGUCACCGGGAGGAAUCGAGAGAAUUCUGGACAUUUUACGACGCUUCUGGCUCCUCGGCUCUUUUUCUCUUUAAUUCCAUACGAUACAGCGAGGAAGAGACGAAACGUGAGUUGAAUGGCGCGCAGCGCUUUUUAUUCAUCGUCUGUUAAUAUGUUAAUUCAAUUUAUCUCGCGGCACGCAACGCGCCUCAUUUGUCUCUGUCCAUUGCUUGAUGCUUGCACAUCCGUGUUCAUUUCCCUCACGGUUCCUCGGCUCUUUCGCAUUAUUUUUCCACCGCGGUUUUUCGCGGAAUUGCAGCUCCGCGUAUACAUCAGCGCGGCUGUCGUGCUUUUCCGACUUUUCCUGACGUUCUCAGGCUCCGUGUGAUAAUUGUUAUCUCUUAGACCACGAGCUCAAAAAAAUGUUGGCUUUUAAAAUCUGGUAAAUAUUUAGAAUCUCACGGGCCAUCUUGUGAGUUUAUACAAUGGAUAAUACAUGUUCGGAUUCGAAUAUAAUCUACCAUCACGCUUCGUUAGGACGCUAGAUUGGACUGUCAGAAUAAUUCUGUAUUAUCCUUCCAAACUAUAAUUCAUGAUUCGCGAAUAUUAAAGCGAGGAGGCUCGCGCCCUCCUGCCAGUUUCUUAAGGAUAUUCUCUCCUCGAGCUGUCGUAAUCCUCGGGUUAUUAGCGUAAGCUGAGAUUCCUCGCAAAUUACGUCGAAAUCCUCGUCUCGAAGUUUAAACAGCUCACGUCGCUUUGCUCGUGCACGCGGCAGCCAGUUUUAAAAUUAGUUACAAAAUCACGGAAAUUGAAAAAAUUGAGAGUGAGAUGAUAAAAAUGACCAAAAAAAAACUGAACUUUCAGAGUAUUCAAUAUACUCCAACAUUUCAGAAAUCCACGUUUGACGCAACGAUCGCUCUUGUGAUUCGCAGUAAUGAUGGCGUGCCUCUUAAAAUUGUGUCGAGGAGGCACGAUGGAUAACGCGCUCUAUUGUGGUAACAGCGCGUAAUCUUGCGUGAUAGCGGUGGUGCGAGAUAGCGCGAGGUUCUCUUUGAAGCACUACACAAGGGGCUGCAAUUACCUCCUCGCGGUCCGCGACGUCGCUGCCAGUUCGCUUCGCGUGGAUCACGGAUGAAAGGAUGCGAUUAGCGUUACGGGACUGUGAAAUUCGCGGUGUGCCAAACGCAACGUGAUCGACGAUAAUUCCGCAAAUGCGCGCUUCUUACGCGGCUUUGGAAGACCGCAAAAAUAAAGCCCGCCGAUCGGUUCGUCGCCGUGUACGAGAAAUCAUUAGCAGAACACGAUCAUCGACUGAUCGCCGGGAAAACGCGAUCAGUGCGCGAUCUGGUUCCACGAUAACGGCACUUGGCUGUCCGCGAUAUACGACUUUGCAAAAAAAUCUCGGCGGAAACGCGUAAUAACGCCUGUUCUGAUUGGAAACGAUGCCACUGCGGUUCGCGGAAGCUGAGGAGCAGCAAGAACGUUAUUGCCGAGAAACGGGAUUGAAUUAGGUGGUUGAGCGCAAUAGGUAUUUUGAAAAACGUGUCCAAGAAGAACAUCUUGGAUUAAUAAUGGAACAAGCAGAGAUAUCCGCACGGACGGAUACGAUAGUUGUUCCGCAACUGGGAAAGGUCUAUUGUAUUCGCGAUAUAUCUUGCGUGAAGAGUUUUUGCAAGUUCCCAUUUUUCAAUAAAAGCAGUUGCCAAGUUCGUCGCAAUUACCGCGUGGACUCGCGCUGCGAAUUUCUGCCGGCCAAUUCGGUUCGCAGCACGAUGUUGCGCGUCUCCUGCGGUGAAUUUCGUGGCACUCAGAACGACAGUUUCUGUAGCUGCGGAGUAAUAGUUUCGCAGCUCGCCACAGUUACGGAUUGUUUCUACCUCGGAAACUUCGCGGAGCGGCGCGCCGCGUUUCGAUAAUUUGCCACGAUAAUGUCCGCUGACGGAGCUCGCUGUAAGAUCGAAACCUAGUUCGAUCAAUUCGUUAUGACCGAUCGACCAAUCAUAGCGGUAAAUCUCUUGUUUGGUGAAGGAAGCUGAUCGCGCGAUUAUAAAAACUUGUUGCGUAAUAUAGUUGCAAUUAUAUGGGAUUGCCAAGAUUUCCUUCAAGAAAUCCUUUAAGAAAUCUAGAGAAGUUGAAGAUAAGGGAGAAAGUUACCGUAACGUCUGAUUGGAAAUACAUCGAUUUACGUUACUGUGUGUGUACAUACACUGAAAAAAAUCUGGUUGCAUUAAUUAGAAAUCUGAUAGGCUCAGUCAGUCUGUCUAUUGAAAAAUGGACGAAUUAGAAUUCUCUUAGGAAUUACCAGAUUAUAGUACAGUCUAUCAAACGUUCUAUUAUAGUUAUAAAAUAUCCAGUUCUAUGAUAAUUAGAAAUUCUGCUUGCUUUAACCAAAAUGCAUACUAUCAUAUAAUAGAAACUUUUAAUGAGUCAUCGAUUCUGUACACACACAUACACGUCGUAGGAAUUCUUUAAUUAACGUAAAGUUGCAGCAAGAGAGUUAUCGUUUUAUAAUAUCGAUUUAAUUAGGAUAGAUCCUCUGAGGGCAAUGAUGACACUUAUAGAUAGUAGGUAUAAGACUGAUGUAUUUACAAAGAGUUCCGACUUAACACAAUUAACAAAAGAAAAAAAAA